GUCACUUUGCCGGAGUGGUUAACGGGAUCGCCUGCUAUUAAGCCAGCGGUUGGGCUUUGCCCGCGAGUGUUCGAAUCGCUCAGGUGACG